rnacentral:rRNA from 1 species
AGGACGAACGCUGGCGGCGUGCUUAACACAUGCAAGUGGGGCGACGAACCAGGGCUUGCCCUGGGGCAGAGCCGCGAACGGGUGAGUAACACGUGGGUUACCUGCCUCGAUGACCGGGACAACCCGAGGAAACUCGGGCUAAUACCGGAUGUGCCCGCAAGGGGAAAGGAAGCUUCGGCCUCCGCAUCGAGAUGGGCCCGCGGCCCAUUAGCUUGUUGGUGAGGUAAUGGCUCACCAAGGCUUCGAUGGGUAGCUGGUCUGAGAGGACGAUCAGCCACACUGGGACUGAGACACGGCCCAGACUCCUACGGGAGGCAGCAGUGGGGAAUCUUGCGCAAUGCGCGAAAGCGUGACGCAGCAACGCCGCGUGGGGGAAGAAGGCUUUCGGGUUGUAAACCCCUUUCAGUUGGGACGAAGCUUCUCCGGUGAAUAGCCGGACGGAGUGACGGUACCUUCACAAGAAGCACCGGCUAACGUACGCGCCAGCAGCCGCGGU